rnacentral:rRNA from 1 species
AGCUCCAAUAGCGUAUACUAACGUUGUUGCAGUUAAAAAGCUCGUAGUUGGAUUUUUAAGGGUGUCUGCUUCUAGUGACCUUUCGUGUCACUAAUGUUGUAGACUCCCCUUAUUUUGCCUCAGUACCUGAUUGGGAUUCACUUCUCGAUUGGGAUUCCGGGGCGUGUUUACUUUGAGAAAAUUAGAGUGUUCAAAACAGUCUUGUGAUUGUAUAUCAUAGCAUGGAAUAAUAACUGAUGACGUCGGUCAUUUUUGUUGGUUCGGAUGGCUGAAGUAAUGAUUGAUAGAGUUAGUCGGAGGUAUUAGUAUUCUAUCGUUAGCGGUGAAAUGCACGGAUCGGUAGAAGACUAACAACUGCGAAAGCAUUUAUCUAGGAUUUGCUCU